AUGCCUUGGUGCAAUCUUUGGAACUCUAUUCAUGAUUUUCUCAUUCCUCAACCAUCAGGCUUUAUUUGUCCCUCCUUGGUUAGGGAUCUUUGGCAGCCUGGGCAAAGGCAAUGGAACCGUCAGCUCAUUUUCUCUCUUUUUCAGCAACCUUUGGCUACUCAGAUUAUCAACAUUGAUAUUCUCGAUGAUGAUAAUGCUGAUAUUCUUUGUUGGCCUUUGGCUCCCAAUGGUAUUUGCUCUUCCAAAGCUGCUUAUAAACUUUGCUUACAAGACAUUCAUACUAAUCCUAGAACUGCUCCUCUGGAUGUUCCUUUGGAUUUGAAAGCUUUUCUUAAAACUAUUUGGAAGCAAAAAGAUUUAUUACCCAAGGUUAAAACUUUUGCUUGGAGGAUGCUUAGCAAAGCUUUGCCCACAGGAAUGAGAGCAGGCCAUUUUUCUAUUCACAUUUGGCAGAAUUGUUGUAGAUGUGCUCAGCAAGAAGAUGAGUUUCACCUUUUCUUUCUUUGUGACUUUGCUAGAGCGGCCUGGUUCUCUGCUCCUUGGUUUCUUAGAUCUGACAUCCUUGUGCAAGGUCACUCUUCAAUGCAUUCCCGUCUGAUUCACUUUGCUUCUAUGGGCCAUCCUUAUGCAUCUUUGCAAAAUAUUUUCAAUUUUAUGUGGUGCAUUUGGAAGGCUAGAAAUGAUUUCCUCUUUGAGAGGAAAUUUUCUUUUCCCUACCAAAUUAAAAUUGCUGCUACUAGUUUGAAUAAUAUUCUCCAAGAGGAGAUUCUGCCUUCUACUAAUAUUCAGUCUUUGCAGGCUUCUCAACCUAAUAAUUCUCCUCUUCCUAAGCAAGGCAAUACUCUCAAAUCAGACCUUCUCAUUAAUGGUGCUAAAGUGUUUUCUGAUGCUGCUUUCAGAACUUCUAGAGUUCCAGGAUUUCAGCAAGGUCAAUUGCGCACAGCUCAAUUGGCGGCUUGCCUUAACAUUCAAACUCCUACUUUUUUAACUGAUUCUCUUUCUCUUGCCACUGUUGCUGCUGCCAGGAAUAUUACUCACUCUUCCACUCCUUGGAAUAUUAGAAAAGAAGUGGCUUCUUUUGUAAACUCUACUUCUAAUCUUAAUCCCCAAGUUUUUCAUAUUUCUAGGAAUUUGAAUGGGGUGGCUCACAAUUUAGCUCAUCAAGUUUUUCAAAUGGCUGGAGGACCUACACUCAAUUGCUCUUCUCACUCUCAUGUCAUUGAAUCAUGUCCUUUAGCUGCCUCUCUUGUUGAUUUUAAUUUUGUAGGAAUUCAGCUUCAUAAGGUGUAUUGCUUUUAG
rnacentral:rRNA from 1 species